UACGAAGGGGGCGAGCGUUGUUCGGAUUUACUGGGCGUAAAGGGCGCGCAGGCGGCUAUCCAAGUCAGGCGUGAAAGCCCCGGGCUUAACCUGGGAGGUGCGUCUGGGACUGGGUGGCUAGAGUUCGGGAGAGGUGAGUGGAACUGCGAGUGUAGAGGUGAAAUUCGUAGAUAUUCGCAAGAACACCAGUGGCGAAGGCGGCUCACUGGCCCGAUACUGACGCUGAGGCACGAAAGCGUGGGGAGCAAACAGG
rnacentral:rRNA from 1 species